CCUACGGGAGGCAGCAGUGGGGAAUAUUGGACAAUGGGCGAAAGCCUGAUCCAGCCAUGCCGCGUGUGUGAAGAAGGCCUUCGGGUUGUAAAGCACUUUCAGUGGGGAAGAAAGCCUUGGGGCUAAUACCCUCGAGGAAGGACAUCACCCACAGAAGAAGCACCGGCUAACUCCGUGCCAGCAGCCGCGGUAAUACGGAGGGUGCGAGCGUUAAUCGGAAUUACUGGGCGUAAAGCGCGCGUAGGCGGUCUGAUAAGCCGGUUGUGAAAGCCCCGGGCUCAACCUGGGAACGGCAUCCGGAACUGUCAGGCUAGAGUGCAGGAGAGGAAGGUAGAAUUCCCGGUGUAGCGGUGAAAUGCGUAGAGAUCGGGAGGAAUACCAGUGGCGAAGGCGGCCUUCUGGACUGACACUGACGCUGAGGUGCGAAAGCGUGGGUAGCAAACAGGAUUAGAUACCCAGUAGU
rnacentral:rRNA from 1 species